rnacentral:rRNA from 1 species
GACGAACGCUGGCGGCGUGCUUAACACAUGCAAGUCGAACGGUAAGGCCCCAGCUUUCUGGGGUGCACGAGUGGCGAACGGGUGAGUAACACGUGGGUGACCUGCCCCGCACUUCGGGAUAAGCCUGGGAAACUGGGUCUAAUACCGGAUAGGACCGCACCGUGCGGGGGGGGGGGAAGGUUUUUGGGUGGGGGAUGGGCCCGCGGCCGGUCUGCUUGUUGGUGGGGUAAGGGCCUGCAAAGGCGGGGACGGGUGGCCGGCCGGAGAGGGUGGGCGGCCAAAUGGGACCUGAGACACGGCCCAGACUCCUCCGGGAGGAAGAAGUGGGGAAUAUUGCACAAGGGGCGGAGGCUGGAGGCAGAGCCGCCGCGUGGGGGAGGACGGCUUUCGGGUUGUAAACUCCUUUCCCCAUGGACGAAGGUUUUCUGACGGUAGAGGGAGAAGAAGAACCGGUUAACUACGU